UAACGAAUCUUCCGCAAUGGGCGAAAGCCUGACGGAGCAAUGCCGCGUGUGGGAUGAAGCGCCUUCGGCGUGUAAACCACUGUCAGGGAAUGGAACCAAUGAUUAUUCCCAAAGGAAGUGGCGACUAACUCUGUGCCAGCAGUCGCGGUAAUACAGAGGCCACAAGCGUUAGUCGGAAUCACUGGGCUUAAAGGGUGCGUAGGCGGGCCCGCAAGCGUCUUGUGAAAUCCCAUGGCUCAACCAUGGAAUUGCAGGGCGAACUGCGGGUCUUGAGGCAGGUAGGGGCCGGAAGAACAGUAGGUGGAGCGGUGAAAUGCGUAGAUAUCUACUGGAAUGCCGAUGGGGAAGCCGUCCGGCUGGGCCUGUCCUGACGCUGAGGCACGAAAGCGUGGGGAGCAAACAGGAUUAGAUACCCCAGUAGUCCCUGAGCGGGCUGGCAAGGCGCAU
rnacentral:rRNA from 1 species